rnacentral:rRNA from 1 species
CUGGCUCAGGACGAACGCUGGCGGCAUGCCUCACACAUGCAAGUCGAACGGGGUAUAGUUUAAAGCUUGCUUUAGCCUAUACCUAGUGGCGGACGGGUGAGUAACGCGUGGGCAACCUACCCUACAGACCGGGAUACCAUCGGGAAACUGAUGUUAAUACCGGAUACACUUAGCCUAGGGCAUCCUAGGCUAAGGAAAGAACUAUCGCUGUAGGAUGGGCCUGCGUUCCAUUAGCUAGUUGGUAGGGUAACGGCCUA